AACGAACGCUGGCGGCGUGGAUAAGACAUGCAAGUCGAACGGGGUGCAAGUUGUAGUAAUACAGUUUGCAUCUAGUGGCGAACGGGUGCGUAACACGUGGGCAAUCUGCCGGGAAGUGGGGGAUAACUCGUCGAAAGGCGAACUAAUACCGCAUGUGGCCAGGGAGGACAUCCUUCCGAAGCCAAAGUCGGGGUAACCUGACGCUUUCUGAUGAGCCCGCGGCCUAUCAGCUUGUUGGUGAGGUAACGGCUCACCAAGGCGAUGACGGGUAGCUGGUCUGAGAGGACGACCAGCCACACUGGAACUGAGACACGGUCCAGACACCUACGGGUGGCAGCAGUCGAGAAUUUUUCUCAAUGGGGGAAACCCUGAAGGAGCGACGCCGCGUGGAGGAUGAAGAUUUUCGGAUUGUAAACUCCUGUCAUUGGGGAACAAGGCAACGGAUAGUAACUGAUUUGUUGUUGAUAGUACCCGAAGAGGAAGGGACGGCUAACUCUGUGCCAGCAGCCGCGGUAAUACAGAGGUCCCAAGCGUUGUUCGGAUUCAUUGGGCGUAAAGGGUGCGUAGGCGGCGAGGUAAGUUGGAUGUGAAAUCCCGGGGCUCAACCCCGGAACUGCAUUCGAUACUGCCUUGCUAGAGUUCUGGAGAGGAGAUUGGAAUUCACGGUGUAGCAGUGAAAUGCGUAGAUAUCGUGAGGAAGACCAGUGGCGAAGGCGAAUCUCUGGACAGAUACUGACGCUGAGGCACGAAGGCCAGGGGAGCAAACGGGAUUAGAUACCCCGGUAGUCCUGGCAGUAAACGGUGCACGUUUAGUAUGGGAGGAAUCGACCCCUUCCGUGCUGGAGCUAACGCGUUAAACGUGCCGCCUGGGGAGUACGGUCGCAAGAUUA
rnacentral:rRNA from 1 species